GCUCCACCUGGCGGCUGGAGUUUAGUCCGCGGGCGGCUGCGGGGGAAUCUCUGACUCGGUCCGGGGCUGCAGCGGCCGCGUCGCGUCGGGGUCCUGAUCGCCAUGGGGACCGAGGCGAGAGCCGGGAGGAGACAGCUGCUCGUCUUCACGUCGGUCGUCCUGAGCUCCCUGGCGUUGGGCAGGGGCGCAGUGUAUACUUCUGAGCGCGAUGUCAGAGUUCCUGAGGACAAACCCGCCAAGUUGUCCUGCUCCUACUCGGGCUUCUCCAACCCCCGCGUGGAGUGGAAGUUCGCCCAUGGUGACAUCACUAGCCUCGUUUGUUAUAAAAACAAGAUCACGGCCUCCUAUGCAGACCGAGUCACCUUCUCGCACAGUGGCAUCACUUUCCAUUCGGUGACCCGGAAAGACACGGGGACGUACACUUGCAUGGUCUCUGACGAUGGCGGCAACACGUACGGGGAGGUCAGCGUCCAGCUCACUGUGCUUGUGCCUCCAUCCAAGCCCACGGUCCACAUCCCCUCCUCUGCCACCAUCGGGAGUCGGGCAGUGCUGACCUGCUCAGAGAAGGAUGGCUCCCCCCCUUCCGAGUACUACUGGUUCAAGGACGGGGUCCGGAUGCCUUUGGAGCCCAAGGGCAACCGCGCCUUCAGCAACUCUUCCUACAGCCUGAAUGAAAAGACAGGGGAGCUGGUCUUCGAUCCCGUGUCAGCCUGGGAUACGGGCGAGUACACCUGUGAGGCGCGGAACGGGUACGGGAUGCCCAUGAGGUCAGAGGCUGUGCGCAUGGAAGCCGGGCACGGUCCUUGGGUGCCAUCUGAGUACUGACCUGAUAGUGAGCCCACGUGUGCAGGGGUUCUCUCCCGGGAACAAAGAAAGGGUGAGUGAGCCACCUGCCGUCCUGGGAGGUCUCCAGAGGAGGUUGAGAACAAGGAUGCGUGUGGUUCGAAGCAGAGACGGGUCCCGGGGGGAGGGGCUGGAGGCAGAGGCCACCCUGGUUGGGUGGCCAUUUGUGUGUCUACCUCUCCCCGUUCCCUGUGACCUUGCACUCGUCGGGUCUCCCUCCACCCACCCCUCCCUACUGAGAGCUCUGUGCUUCCGUGAAGUUCUCGGUCGAGCCUCUAACGUUGGCCAGCAGAGGUUAAAGAGAGCACGGGUUGGGGGGGGGUGUUGCUGAGCGUCUCCGUCUUCUGGCUUGUCCGCAGGACCUCAAGUAAGAAGGUGAUUUACAGCCAGCCCGCUGCCCGCAGUGAAGGGGAAUUCAGGCAGACCUCGUCAUUCCUGGUGUGACCCUGGUCCGACUCAUCUCCUGUCCUCCGUGCUUGCCUUCUUCCGGUGCUACCAGACUCCGGCCCGUGGCGUCUGUAGUUUCACAGGGUCCCUUACGCAUCUUCUAGCCCCCACAGGGGUCCCCAUGUUUAUCUUAGUUAGGAUGUGGUUGUGUACACUUUCCCCCUGCAUCCCGCCCUUCCUUUCCUGCCAUUGCCCAGUGGCCUGGGAUUUGUUUGAAAGCUUUCGUCCCCCAUCCCUACGAGGGAUCAGGGAACAGCCCUGAGCGUCACGCCCCUUGACUUCCCUUCCCAGAACGUGGCAACAGUGGCGGGGCACUCGAUACCCGCUGUGUGGCGGCGGCCCCUCCCCCCCAGUAGGGAUCUGGAGUUUGGUCCCUCGGCCCUUUCCUCCCGUGGUGAGGAGGGACCCACUGUUCCAGAGUGGGGACUGGAGACCAAGCCACCGAAGAGGUUGUGGGGUGACAACACCAAGUCUCUCCCGUCCCUGCAGCCCACUCCACUUUCUUCUGUCUUCCCACGGGAAGUGCCCCCGAGACCCUCUUGCACCGGCCUGAACGCAGGCGGACACCAUCUGUGUCUGUCGAAAGAAACCGGAGCUUUGUUAUGGAGACCAUUGUGGGGGGGGGCUCUCAGGGGACACUGAGCGGAAGGGUUUUAAAACCCCUGAUCUAAAGAAAAGGAAGCUGGCGCUGGGAGCUCCGACCAUCACCCUUCCCUUGGCUGGAACAACUGGAUGGACCCUUUUAAGAUGCGUCUGCAGGGCCGUGCGGAUGUGCGCACUGGUCGUAGCUCUUUGCUGUGGGGUGUGUGCGUGUGUGCGUGCGCGCGCGAGUGCACAUUCGCGCGCUCGGUCUUAGCUCUCUGCUGAAAUGUGGUGUGUGUCCAGGGGCGUCUUCGCUCUUUGGUGAGACUGUUGGUGUGUGUUUGGAUGUAGCCGGAUGUUGCUGGUUUGUCAAAGCCUCUCGUCGCGGGAAGUUGGGGAAGUGAAGUUCCUGGGCUCCUUUGUACAAACAGGAAGGCGCCUGAAACCCUGCUUCCCAACAACCUGGGUUGGUCCUGGCCCCCUGUCCCACCCCUUCCUGGCCUUGAGACAAGGCAGAGCUUCUGAGCUUGGGACCCUCACUCUGGGGCCCUCUGCUGCGGGAGCACACCCGGAGGAAGCCGAUGCUGUGCCCUGGGGUUCUCCCUGGUCUGGUCCACUGAGGGGAGAAAGUGCCCACCCUCCCCUCCCCCCUCUGCCAACCAGAUGCAUCGAAAGACUUCUCUAAGGAGAACAGACUGCCCCAGAGCAGUGAAGCAACCAUUGCUUCACUGGAGCGGAGUUGGGGGCUGGGGUGCUGUUUAGAGGAAAGGUAAUUUGAGACCAGGUGGCAAGGCCAUCCGCGUGUGACUGCUGGGAAGGUAGGCCGGCCUGACGUGGCUUUCCUUUGUGCGUCUGGACAGCCCCUUUUGCCCUUAAAUUUCUGUUUCCCCCUCUACCAUAGUCGCCCGGUCUAUUAACGAGCGAGAGGGCGAACACGGGGGUCUUCAAGGGUUGAUUUUGCUUAACUUCUUUCUGUGGGGGACACUAAGCCCCACUUUGCCAGGUUUUAUUCCCUGAUCUGGAAACCCCUGACAGAAUUGAGUUUUCUAUCGAGAAUCCAAGAGGAAAAACAAGCCUAGCCAAACCAUCGGUUAAGGGUCAUGGGCCAAUAAAAAAAGAGCUUUUUCAGAUGGAGAUAAAAUUUAAUUAAACAGUAAAAGCAGAGAUGAUGAAAUGGUUCAGUAAGAAAGAGAUUUUUAAAGCGUGUUUCAGCCUCCUGGUUGGGAGACGGGGUGGGAGGGACGCGGAGACAAGGCCACAGGGAAGCAGAGGUGACUCAUUGUCCCGUUAGGUCUGAGGUGAGUGGUUCCUCACCCUCUCGGUCACAUCACAUUCUGUGAUGAACAGAAGUCAUGCGUGACCAGCCUUGGAAGUCACCUCUCCAGCUUACCACAGUCCCCUUGAGUUGGAAAACACCCUGCCUGCUUUCAUUUCGAAAUGUCAAGGCUAAUUUUGUAAUAAAUGUUUAUUUUUCACAUUGA